CAAAAAAGAAACUUAGGAGUGGUCUCAAAUGCAAAAACUAGUUUAUAUUGGAUGCCCUAGUAACUUGCCUAUAAAGGCAUAGUUACUUGCAGCUGAAUUCAGAUUUCUGAAGAUCAAAACCCCUAAAAAAAAUGCUGAAAAUUUGAAAGAAUGCUGUUCAAUUGAAUUUUAGCUUGAUAAUAUAAAAUCUUUCUCUUCGUGAAUCAAUUUCCUAAAGGUCUGCACUUCAAAAUGGCUUGAGAUUUAGUCAUUAAGGCUAGGAUUUGGUGUUUGCUUGGUUGAAUGUGUGUUUGAAACUGGAAUCUAGUAUGCUGAAUUGUAUUUUCUGGUUUUGAGCUAUUUUGGUGCACUGUUCCGUUGGAUUUGAGUUCAACUCUGU
rnacentral:lncRNA from 1 species